UAAGGAAUAUUGGACAAUGGUCGCAAGACUGAUCCAGCCAUGCCGCGUGCAGGAAGACGGCCCUAUGGGUUGUAAACUGCUUUUGUACCAGAGAAAACCUAUCUACGUGUAGAUAGCUGAUAGUAUGGUAAGAAUAAGCAUCGGCUAACUUCGUGCCAGCAGCCGCGGUAAGACGAAGGAUGCAAGCGUUAUCCGGCUUCAUUGGGUUUAAAGGGUGCGUAGGCGGGCUUGUAAGUCAGUGGUGAAAUCUCUCAGCUUAACUGAGAAACUGCCAUUGAUACUGCAGGCCUAGAGUAUAGAUGACGUUGGCGGAAUAUGACAUGUAGUGGUGAAAUACUUAGAUAUGUCAUAGAACACCGAUUGCGAAGGCAGCUAACGAAACUAUAACUGACGCUGAGGCACGAAAGUGCGGGGAUCAAACA
rnacentral:rRNA from 1 species